rnacentral:lncRNA from 1 species
GAGCGUAACCGAUUGACAGCGACGUCCGUAACUGCCUGGUAGUGGGCCAUUCGGGGCCACGUGGAGUUUGUUACGGAGAGUAGUGGUGUCCAUUGUUGCGACUUGUCGGAGAGUGGUGGGGCCACGUGGAGUUUGUUACAGAAAGUGGAGUGGUGUCCGUUGUCGUGACUUGCCGGAGAGUUUGGACCGGACGGUUGAAGCUCGGUUGGGAUGUCUGGUGGAGUGAAAUAGCUCUCUGUCUCAGCAAUCUAAGAG